UACAGAGGGGGCAAGCGUUGUUCGGAAUUACUGGGCGUAAAGGGCGCGUAGGCGGCCUGUUAAGUCGAACGUGAAAUCCCCGGGCUCAACCCGGGAACUGCGUCCGAUACUGGCAGGCUUGAAUCCGGGAGAGGGAUGCGGAAUUCCAGGUGUAGCGGUGAAAUGCGUAGAUAUCUGGAGGAACACCGGUGGCGAAGGCGGCAUCCUGGACCGGCAUUGACGCUGAGGCGCGAAGCCAGGGAGCGAA
rnacentral:rRNA from 1 species